UCCAUCUACAAUGGAUAAGACCUUGGUCUUAGUGUAUAGGAGUUAUUGAAAAUAAAGGGGCAAUAUCACCUUCUUGUUCUAUCAAGAAGGUGAUUAUUGCUCCUUUAUUUUCUUUUAGUAGUAUUUUACUUAGGUAGAUCUUUAUUCUUUCCAUUACAGAAAAGGAAAGAAAAAGGAUUCUGUUUAUGAUUAAGGAUUCUACUUUGUUUGUGUUCUUUUUCUGUAUUAAUUUGUUUGUAAUUUCUUCACAAUUUUUUGUUGUAAAUUUUGUUUUUAA
rnacentral:misc_RNA from 1 species